rnacentral:rRNA from 1 species
UGCGUAGGCGGUUCUGUAAGUCAGUGGUGAAAUACUCUAGCUUAACUAGAGGGGUGCCAAUGAUACUGCAGAACUUGAGUACAGAUGAGGUAGGCGGAAUUGACGGUGUAGCGGUGAAAUGCAUAGAUAUCGUCAAGAACACCGAUAGCGAAGGCAGCUUACUGGGCUGUAACUGACGCUGAGGCACGAAAGUGUGGGGAUCAAACAGGAUUAGAUACCCUGGUAGUCCACACUGUAAACGUUGAUUACUCGCUGUUUGCGAUACACAGCAAGCGGCUUAGCGAAAGCGAUAAGUAAUCCACCUGGGGAGUACGCCGGCAACGGUGAA